rnacentral:rRNA from 1 species
UCCGUAGGUGGUUUGUCAAGUCUGUUCGUCAAAGAAUGGAGCUUAACUCCAUAAAGGCGGUGGAAACUGAGAGACUAGAGUUCGGUAGGGGUAGCGGGAAUUCCCAGUGUAGCGGUGAAAUGCGUAGAUAUUGGGAAAGAACAUCGGUGGCGAAAGCGCGCUACUGGGCCGAAACUGACACUGAGGGACGAAAGCUAGGGUAGCGAAAG